GUCAUAGCUCAAUGGUAGAGCACAUGUUUUAUAUCAACAAGGUCUCUGGUUCAAUCUCAGGUAGGGAUG